rnacentral:tRNA from 1 species
CCUUCGAUAGCUCAGUUGGUAGAGCGGAGGACUGUAGUGGCAUAGCCGUUGUGGCAAUCCUUAGGUCGCUGGUUCGAUUCCGGCUCGAAGGA